rnacentral:tRNA from 1 species
GGCCCCGUGGUGUAGCGGCCUAACACGCCACCCUGUCAAGGUGGAGAUCGUCGGUUCGAAUCCGAUCGGGGUCGCCA